GUUGACCUCGAAUCAGGUAGGACUACCCGCUGAACUUAAGCAUAUCAAUAAGCCCGGAGGAA
rnacentral:rRNA from 1 species